GGGGUUGUGGCUCAGUGGCAGAGCGCUUGCCUAGCAUGUAUGAGACACUGGGUUUGAUCCUCAACACCA
rnacentral:tRNA from 1 species